AAGACACUAGUAAUAAAGAUUACACUACCUUGUCAAGGCAGAAUUGCUGGUUAAACCCCUGCGUGUUUUA
rnacentral:tRNA from 1 species